ACUUAGAUAGUUUAAUUAAAACGUUGAUUUGUGGUAUCAGAAAUAUAAAAGUUAUUCUAGGUU
rnacentral:tRNA from 2 species